UCUGUGGUUGGAUAGCGGGUUUGUGUUGCCCAACUCUGCGCGAAUACACUGUGCCAAUUGAAUCUCAGUUUAGGUUGCAGCCCAGCCAGCAGUACACGACGGGCGUUACGUCUCCAGGUUAGCAACACAAAUUACAAAAAAGUCGGCGGUUGUAUUCGAUUAAAGUUUUUAUUAAAAGUAUGAAUUUCACCACCACGCGGAAGCACCGCGGUUGUACAGUACUAGCAUAGAAAGAAAGUGUGGCUGCCCCAAAGAGACAUGUAGGUGAACAGUGGAGACGGAUAUGAAGGACUGUGGUCUGUCAUGGAACACCAUCUCCAGACAGAAGCCUUAUGUCCUAAAUAGGAAUUAAGCAAGGAAGUAUUCUGUCAUCGAAUAUUAAUUCUCAUAUCCAUGGCUUUGAAAACUUUUAUUAAAUUUGACAACAACAGCA